rnacentral:rRNA from 1 species
CCUACGGGAGGCAGCAGUGAGGAAUAUUGGUCAAUGGCCGGAAGGCUGAACCAGCCAAGCCGCGUGAAGGACGCAGGUGCCAAGCAUUGUAAACUUCUUUUGUGAGAGAAGAUAAUGACGGUAUCUCACGAAUAAGCACCGGCUAACUCCGUGCCAGCAGCCGCGGUAAUACGGAGGGUGCAAGCGUUACUCGGAAUCACUGGGCGUAAAGAGUGCGCAGGCGGGCUUGUAAGUCAGAUGUGAAAUCCUGUAGCUUAACUACAGAACUGCAUUUGAAACUAUGAGUCUAGAGUGUGGGAGAGGUAGGUGGAAUUCUUGGUGUAGGGGUAAAAUCCGUAGAGAUCAAGAGGAAUACUCAUUGCGAAGGCGACCUACUGGAACAUUACUGACGCUCAUGCACGAAAGCGUGGGGAGCAAACAGGAUUAGAUACCCCUGUAGUC